AGAGCACGCGCCACRCAGCAGGGUGCAGGGGGCCGAGUGAUAGGAGAAACGAAGAGCAAUGCAUGCAGUGCGGGGCAUUUUAAGGAGAGAAAACCAUCUCUUGCUCAAGCCAAGGAAGGCAACACUCACAUUAUACACGCGGCUGUUAUUUUUCCCCCGUGUUUGCUAGGGAGGGCCUGCGAUUCCUGCACAAGCCGGUGUUUCCAAGAAGGAAAGGCGCUGACAGCAAAAUGCCAGCGGCAGCCGCUCCAGUUGCAGCCAUUUGCCUGCGACCUGAGCGAUGGCCCAGCUUCCCUCCUUUCCCUAGUAUGAAUGGGAAAUAAAACCUGGGAGAGGCGUGAGGGCGCCACUAAUCCUCCAAGAGAGGCGUAAAAACGACAGCGGUUUUGCAGUUUCCCAGCACCAUGCAGUCGAAUCUCCCCACGGGACAAAAAACCAACGCUAUUUACAUCCGUUUUAUUUUCUCUAGAAAAAGUCGGGACACGGAGCGGGUAGAUUUACAGGCCACAGCCGACAGCGCCUCGCGGGGAUGGUGCAAAAAAAAGGUCAAAGCGAAGCCACAAAUCGCCUGCGCAACAGAAAUACAAUAUGUUUAUGCACAGACUAUUUACAGUCAAGCCCUCUCUUGCAUACGGUCACCGCUGGGGAAACCCAAAGCAUUUCCCAGGGCGACGGCUGGGGAAUCCACGCCGGAAGGACGCCCUAGCGCGCCGUUGGAGAACAAGCUGCACGAACCACCAAAGCAGAUGGGCCGUCGGGAGAGGGACGGCGGGAUGUUUUAACGGCUUUGCUUUGGCUGGGAGCAGGCAUGGAGCAAGAGCGGCGUUGGGAUUACCUGCUACGCCAAACCCUCUCGCUGUUACGCUGCCGGCUUCUCUCCGAGCGCUGCACGCUUAAGCCUUGAAGGCUUCGAAUCACGGCGUUUGCCGCUUCAAGGCUUUUACGGCCACCGCGGAAAAGACUCCCGCUAGUCCUAGUCCUCUCCUGUGGAGGCAGCCCGGCGGACACGAGCAGCGUUCUCCCUAAAAUGCGAUUUCCCCGUUUCGCUCUGCGGCCCGGAGAGCGGCUUGAUCUCUUGCAUAGCCAGCGCUGCUGCGAACGGAGGAGGAAAAGGAACAAGCCAAAACGGCCGGCAACGAGGAAUAUAUAAGCGUCGGGAAGGGAGGGAUCACCGGGAACUGCGUGAGACCUCCAACAAGCAGUAUUCCCGUCCUAAAAUUACUUGUCUAAGCCUCCGCGCCUUCCAGGUCGAGCCGGUGCUUCGCCAUCGCCUUCGCUUCCCGAGCUGGCGGCACAGCGCCCGGGCAGCUUUCGCAGCUCGAGUCGCUUUCAACGGCCUGAAAACGAGCUCUUUAAACCAGCACAAGCUUCGCUCUUUCGCCACCGGCUUCCUUCUUGGCCACGCCGGCAGGCGUGGAAGCGCAGGGCUGGUUUUCCGCGGCGGCGCGGCGCCGUUGGCGGGGAGAACUCGCUCUCGAGGCCAAGCACACCGAAUUCCUACAGCGUCUCUCGGGGCUCGCGGAGGAACGCAGUCACGGGAAGGGUAAUAAACUAAGAGCAGGACAGAAAAACA
rnacentral:lncRNA from 1 species